rnacentral:rRNA from 1 species
AGUCACUGACAUUAGAUACCCCUGUAGUCCAGGGUGUAGACGCUGCAGACUUGGUGUUGGAGGCCCUUUGGGGGCAUUCAGUGCCGGAGAGAAGUUGUUAAGUCUGCUACUUGGGGAGUACGUCCGCAAGGAUGAAACUUAAAGGAAUUGGCGGGGGAGCACCGCAACGGGAGGAGCGUGCGGUUUAAUUGGAUUCAACACCGUAAACUCACCAGGGAAGACUGUUACAUGAAAGCCGAGAUGAAGACUCUGCUAGAUUUUCAG